CUUGGUGUGCUGGCCUGCCGCGUGAUCGUCUCUUUGGCGGUGACAUAAUCACUGGAAAUGCCGGCAUCUCCUGAGGACGGCGCAGGUUGCCUCACGUUUCGCUUGUUCCCUUCCACACAACCGACCACGUUGUCAGACACCUGAAGCUGCACUUUUGCCUUAGAAUGCAGCUGCUGAGCGCCUCGGCAUCCCAGUCCGACAAAUUGAGGUACGCCAUCACACCUGUUUCGCCGCACGGCUUCUAUGAUGUGACGCCCUUCAAUCGCUAUGCCGCUAUCCCUAUGAAUGCAUGUGCUUCUGGCGUCUUCGCUUCGGUCCUCUGAGGAGUGCCUGGUAUCACUAUAACUCAAUCACAGAACAAUGUGAUCCAGGAGGCGAGCAGUUCAACUGCAAUGGAUUUCCAACUAAGGCAGAGUGCCAAAAAAGGAUGCAACUCUAGUGCUACAAAAUGUCACUAUCCCUUCGGUUGUAACUGUAUUCAUAGGAAUGGCACAUACCCUGCCGACUGCGGUUGCCUCUGGGUAUACCCUUUCGGUGACGUAAUGGAGAACAUGUAUCAUCACAACGAUUUAACCAGGACGUGUGAUCUGCGUGCGAGGGAGUUCAACUGCAAUGCAUUUAAUACAAUGCAUGAAUGCCAGCAGAAAUGCAAUGUGGGAACAGGCAACCGACGGCUCAGGAAAAAAAGGCAGAGCAGAAGCAGAAGUUCUUCUGCUUGAAUGUAUCUAGGAAUUCAAAUCAACCUCACUGCAAUUUUUGUCUCAGACGUCUUAUUCCAAGGUCAAGUGCUUGUCUCAUGUAGCAAGGGAUUUUCUGUUUUACGGCCGUACUAUAAACAGCGCA
rnacentral:misc_RNA from 1 species